GUGCCCUCUUCUAAGCUCUUUAUCAUCAUAAUUUCUGAUGUAAAGAGCAUGAUGCCAUGGACAAAAUGGGCCCUCAGUGACUAUCCGAUGCAGGGCCAGGCACUGAAUGCAGAUCACUCAUUCUAGGGAAAAGCCAUGCCCUGGAGACACUCAAGCAGUCCUAUGGAGAGGUCCACAGGGCAAGGAACAGCAGCUUCCUGCCAGCAGCCAGGAGGCCUUGUGAGCCAUGCAAGUCAAUCAUCUUGGAAGUGGAUCCCACAGCCACAGUCAAGCCUUCAGAUGAGAUGGGAGCCCCAGCCAACAUCUUGACUGCAACUUCACAAAAGACUUCAUGCCAAAAACAUCUAGCUAAGCCACUCUCAAGUUCCUGAUCCACAGAAACUGGAUCAGAUCAUCCAUGUUUAUUGUUGUGUUAAACUGCUGAGUUCUGGGAUCAUUUGUUACAGUGGAUAGCUAAUACCGGGGCCUGUGACUAAAUCUGGAGCCACAACCCCCAAUAGGGCAUCAAACCCACAGCGGUGGCCCAGUCAGUGCCCAC
rnacentral:lncRNA from 1 species